GAUGAAGAACGUAGCGAAAUGCGAUAAGUAAUGUGAAUUGCAGAAUUCAGUGAAUCAUCGAAUCUUUGAACGCACAUUGCGCCCCCCAGUAUUCUGGCAGGCAUGCCUGUUCGAGCGUCAUUUCAACCAUCAAGCCCUGCUUGUGUUGGGGUCCUGCGGCUGCCCGCAGGCCCUGAAAACCAGUGGCGGGCUCGCUAGUCACACCGAGCGCAGUAGCACAUCUCGCUCAGGGCGUGCGGCGGGCUCCAGCCGUUAAAGCACCCACCUUUCGCAAGGUUGACCUCGGAUCAGGUAGGAAUACCCGCUGAACUUAAGCAUAUCAAUAAGCGGAGGA
rnacentral:misc_RNA from 1 species